GGGAGGCUUAAAACAAUAGAAAUUUAUUGUCUCACAGUUCUGGAGGCUGGAAUUCUGGAUUAAGGUGGCAGCAGGGCCGUGCUCCCUUUGAAGGCUUUACAGGAGAAUCCUUUGCCUCUUCCUAGCUUGUGGUGGUUGCUAGUAGUCUUUGGCGUUCCUUGGCUUGUAGACAUAUCACUUCACUCUCUGCAGUCAUCCCCACGUGGCCUUUUUCCCUGUCUGUGUGUGUGUCUGACUCUCCAUGUCCUCUCUUUUAUAAGGAUAGCAGGCAUUGGAUUUAGGGCUCACACUAACACAUUAUGAUGUCAUCUUAAUUACAUCUGCAAAGACCCUGUUUCCAAAUAAGGUCACAUCCUGAGGUUCUGGAUGGAUAUGAAUUCUGGGGAGACACUAUUCAACCCAGUAUACUUUUUGCCUUUCUUCCUUAGAGCUCCAGCUAAUCCAGAUGCAACAUUGACGAAUUAGUGCCGGAAUGAGUAUCAGCACUUGAAAACCCUACAGAGAUGCCUUGGUCACUCCAGAUAAGAGUUUCUGUGGCUGAGAGGCCCCACUGUAUGACUCCUGUUUCUGCCUGCUGGACUUCACUUUCUGGGGCUUGGCAUCUGAUGACCUCUGUAUACAUGCUGUGCCUCCUGUUCUUUAUGUGGCCACUUCACUUUGUCCUUUGGGUUUCAGCUUAAAAGUAGAGUCAACUAGAAAUCUUCAUUACCAUGCUGAGACUAGUUAGGAUGCCCCUGGCUCAUCAGCUGUAAUGCCUCUGUCAAAGCUCCACUCAAACAUGCUAGAACCAUCGCCUUCCCCUCCUCAACUGUAAACCACAGAAAUGCAGAGGCCCUGUCUGUUUUGUUCAUCAGAUCCUCCGGAGCAUAGCUUACUGCCCAACAGAUGCUGGGUGGUAAAUAAAUGUGGAAUAUGUGCCUGUGUGUGUGCAGCUCUGACCCUGUGCCUCAGAGGUCAGCUUCCAGGACUGUUGCCUCAAUAACACCUCUCUUCCAAGUCUGUGUCAGGACUGCAGCUUGCACUCGGAAAGGGACUGGCUAUGAUUCUGCACUGCUGAAGGCACAGAAGCUGACAUAGUUUCUGCUGAUCAAGGAGCUUGCAUUCAAGAGAGCAGGGAGAGGAGCACAACAAAGGAAGCAUGUGCAAAAAUGAGCACAAUAAUUCCAGGCAGUAAGUGGUAAUGUUCUGUACAAAAGUUAAAUUAAGCAGAAAGAGGUGGUCAGAAAGGUGUGAGGGCAGAGAGGUAAGUCAGCUGAAACUGACAAGCCCGGGAGCCGCUUUCUAGGAAGACAACGCAUGUGCUGAGGCCUGGGUGUUGAGCAGAUGCCAGCUCCCUGAGGACCAGGAAGAAACUGGGCAGGGGGCUCAUGUGAAGGUACUGAGGGCACAUGAGGCUGGCAAGCUUGAAGACUAGAAAGGAGAUGAGGGAGGCUGGUGUGUGGUUUGCAGAGAGUGCAGGAGGUGAGGUUGGAAGGAGGCGGUGGCUGGGCCACCUCCAGCUUGUGAGCCAGUGAGAGGAUGUGUGUUCUAAAGAG
rnacentral:lncRNA from 1 species